AUGAAGCGUUGCGAGCAAUAUGAUGAAGAGGAGGAAGACAUUGUGGACAUCAAGGUGGAGCAACUGGAUCGCCCGCCGCUUCCACCGCGUCAGGUCAUCGGACCUGACGAACAUGGGUUCAAGCGCUACGUAGACUAUUCUUGGGUGGGGAAUCGCAAGGUCCGGACAGUGACCACCACGCGAGUGCACAAGAUAGCAACCGUGCGCGUUAGCAAAAGGGUUCUGGAACGCCGUAAGACCUGGUGUAAGUUUGGAGAUGCGGAGAACGAUGACAGGGAGAUAGCGAAGAUCCGGCUUCUAAGGACAAGUACAUCCGGCAUCGUGAAGCUUGAGAGGCCCCCAAACUUCAUCCCAUCAGCCAGUGUCCCUUCAGCCCCUAGGCUGUCGCCGACGAAGGCAGCCUCGGCUGCACGCGAACAAGUUCUUGCAAAGGGAGGACCGGCCGUGGCUGCUGCCAGGGCGGCUGCGGCAGCGGGAGCUGAAGCCCGCGGACUCGACGUUUACCCAGGCGAUACCAAGACAGAGAGUGAGUGCUUCGUGGUCAGGAUUGAUCAGUUACCGUUGGAGUCCACAGAAGACAAUGUUCGCGUGCUGAUGGAGCAGUUCGGUGGGGUGAAGCAUGUGUUCAUUGCAAGACACCCGAGGACCAGAGCGUCUCUUCGGUAUGCGUUCGUCUACUUCUUCGAGAAGGAAGAUGGAGAAGCAGCGGUCGAAGCUCUCUCUGAUGGGCUGGAAGCAAGGGUGGUCGGGAUGCUUACAUGUUAA
rnacentral:rRNA from 1 species